rnacentral:lncRNA from 15 species
UAGUUUGGGGAGUUCCCGCGGGUUCACUCUGUUCAGCAGCUGCACGAGCUCUGACUGCGCGGCGGGAACAUCCAUCUCCACCCCGAGGACGGAUCGAUGGGACGGAUCGAUGGGACGGAUCGAUGGGACGGAUCAGGAUCAGAUCAGAUCCGCUCUGCAGGGCUGCAGCAGGAACGUGUCUGUGGUUUUAAGGUGGACCCUGCAGACUCCCAGCAGCUGCUGGUCCGUCCGGAACCUCUGCUGGUCCGUCCGGAACCUGCUCCGGUGAGAACACCGACAGUCUGAACGCAGACGGAACCGGUUGAAGACGAUAAGAUUCAGAAUCCCGCUGCUCUUCCGGAUCCUUCAGACCACCUUAAGAGGACAAACAGACCCCGGAAGCAGUUGGUUUUUUUUCUUUAAAUAAAACUUUAAUGAGUUAAACACGUUUACAAAAUAUGAAUAAAUAAUAUUAACCGUCGUCAGUGAAGGUUUAUAAUGAAACAUAUGGAGGCCAGGAUAACAAAUAACAAUAACAAAUGUAUUAGAAUGAUAAAAUAAUGUUUUUAUCAUUCAUUGUUUUUUUCUAAAUGUUUCUAAAACUAUUAAAUAUUCUAUAAAAACUAAAUAAAUGUAAUAACAUAUUAUUUAAUAUUAUUUACAGUUUAAACUGAAAUACACGUUGUUGCCCGAAAGGUGGCAGUAAUGAGUCUCCAGCUGCCGUUAAAUGGACAGAAGAAGAAGUCCGACGACGACGAUGAGAAGUGUUUCCGGGUCAGUUCGGAUUAGAUGACGUUUCUCUGGAGAGUUUCGGUGUUUUCCGUUUGAUCAACGUCACCAACGGUCGGUAAGAAACAGCCGUUAUUCUCCGUUUAACUCUAAAUAACGUUAAUCUCCCCUUUACUGACCGUUACUGACCGUUACUGACCGUUACUGACCGUACACACCGUACACACCGUACACACACACACCGUACACACCGUACACACACACACACCGUACACACCGUACACACACACACACACCGUACACACCGUACACACACACACCGUACACACACACACCGCACACACACACACCGCACACACCGUACACACACACACACACACACACCGUACACACACACACACACACCGUACACACACCGUACACACACACACACACCCUACACACACACACACCGUACACACACACCGCACACACACACACGCACACACACCGUACACACACACACACACCGUACACACCGUACACACACACCGCACACACACACACACACACGCACACACACCGUACACACACACACACACACACACACACACACAUAGUACACACACACACACACACCGUACACACACACACACACACUGUACACACACACACACACACACACACACCGUACACACACACACACACACGGUACACACACACACACACACACACACCGUACACACACACCGCACACACACUGUACACACACACACACACACCGUACACACACACACACACACCGCACACACACACACGCACACACACCGCACACACACUGUACACACACGCACACACACUGUACACACACACACACACACGCACACACACACACAAAAUACACACACACACACACACAAUAUACACACACACACACACACAAUACAAUAUACACANNNNNNNNNNNNNNNNNNNNNNNNNNNNNNNNNNNNNNNNNNNNNNNNNNNNNNNNNNNNNNNNNNNNNNNNNNNNNNNNNNNNNNNNNNNNNNNNNNNNUAUACCAGGGUCUGCUGGUAUAACUUUAUUUAUGGACUUUAUAGAACUGAUUUAUAUAUUUACUUAUUUAUUUGUUCAUGCAGGUCCAGUGAAGCAACGUCAUAAAUGUGGUGAUGAUGACGAGGUCAAAGAAGACACGAAGAGGCAGAAUCACUACUGAAAUUCUGCUGAAAAUGAGAACACAGAGGAGUCAAAAGUCUUUAAUUCUUAGGGAGAAUGAAAAGACAAAAGGAGUCCAGACACUGGUGGUGAUGGCUGAUGACUGCUGAAAGCAUCCUAAUAAAAAGACACAGCCAUAAAAUGAUGGCUUAUGAUGCAGGUGUGUCACUAUGCUAUUGGACAGAUGUGGCCAGCUGAUGAGAACAGCUGUUAUCAUUGACAGCAUGGAAAUUAGGAGUGAGGUGAGUGACUGUAUGGAUUCAUUGUUUCCUCAACCUGGACCCGGAUCAUAUUUAAUCUUUGCACCUCCUCAUCCGCACCUGUAGCAACUCACCAAUGAAGGUGCUUGUGCUAUUUUCUAUCUGAACAUAAAGUACAGUUUACUGUGGGUCUGAUCAACAGGUAGCAUUUAUGAUCUAUGACUAAAUCCUCAAACAUAGUUCAGUAUGAAAACUAGGAUAAUUAAUUAAUGGAGUGCAAUAUAAGCACUGAGUUGUGAACUCUAUAGAGUGUGGCAGCCAAUGACUGUAGAAUUUUAAACACACCUCAUAAAAACACAAAAAGCAAAUGAUAAAACAAUACAGAAUCCUGUAGCACUAGCUGUAUGUGUAUGUUUUUAGAUUCAGAUUUUUGAAUGUCAUUUAAUCUUUUAUAAACAUUUGUCAUCUAAAUUCCGAGAGGUUUUUGUUGUCGGAUGCAGAUGUGGCACAUAAUUGGAAAUAUAACAAUAAACAAUAUACAUAAUAUAAUACAAUGUAACAUAAUACUAACAACAAAAAGCAGCUCAAAUAAAUGGAAUACUUACAAAUAAUGCUUCAAUGAGAACACUUGUGGAUGACACACAGCCUCACAGCCAGAUCGGUGCCACAGAAGUUACUCAACAGUUACUGGACAGAUGGAAUUAUUUGUUAUAAUUAAGUUAAUGUUUAAACUGGACAGAAAACCUACCAGUGAAACUUUACUUUGUCCUUCAGCCACCACGAUAUUUCAACCUAGCUUGCAUCUGAUAUCAAAAUUGAUCAUUUAAUGUGAUUUAACACAGACUAAAUUCAACAAAAAAAAUCAUAUAACUUGUUAGCUGCAAUAACUUGAAUACUUACAAAUAAUGCUUCAACAAUAAUGUGUACAAAGU